rnacentral:rRNA from 1 species
GACGAACGCUGGCGGCGUGCUUAACACAUGCAAGUCGAGCGGUAAGGCCCUUUCGGGGGUACGACGAGCGGCGAACGGGUGAGUAACACGUGGGUGACCUGCCCUCCAGCUCUGGGAUAAGCCUGGGAAACUGGGUCUAAUACCGGAUAUGACUCCAUGACGCAUGUUGUGGGGUGGAAAGCCUUGUGCGGCUGGGGAUGGGCCCGCGGCCUAUCAGCUUGUUGGUGGGGUGAUGGCCUACCAAGGCGACGACGGGUAGCCGGCCUGAGAGGGCGACCGGCCACACUGGGACUGAGACACGGCCCAGACUCCUACGGGAGGCAGCAGUGGGGAAUCUUGCGCAAUGGGCGAAAGCCUGACGCAGCGACGCCGCGUGAGGGAUGACGGCCUGGUGUAA